AUUGAACGCUGGCGGCAGGCCUAACACAUGCAAGUCGGGCGAGCGGCGGACGGGUGAGUAAUGUAUGGGGAUCUGCCUGAUGGAGGGGGAUAACUACUGUAAACGGUAGCUAAUACCGCAUACCAUCAUAUGAACCCAUAUGGGAUUAGCUUGUGGGUGUGGUAACGGCUCACCAAGGCGACGAUCCCUAGCUGGUCUGAGAGGAUGAUCAGGCACACGGGGACUGAGACACGGCCCAGACUCCUACGGGAGGGAGCAGUAGGGAAUCUUCGGCAAUGGACGAAAGCCUGAACGAGCCACGCCGCGUGAGUGAAGAAGGGCUUCGGAUCGUAAAAGUCUGUUGGUAGGGAAGCGGUACCUAACGAGAAAGCCACGGCUAACUACGUGCCAGCAGCCGCGGUAAUUC
rnacentral:rRNA from 1 species